AAGAUACAACAGUGUCAUCUUUGGCAGGAUAGAUGGAUUUUCAAGGAAGAGUGGGAGCUGAUCAAGGGGUCGAAAAUGUAGAUAUUGCCAGACGUAUGUUCACUGUCCGAGGAACAGGCCGUGGAAGCUUAAUUGCUGGGUAAAGUGUCCAUAACCAGAGAUUCAGUAUGUGGAGGACCUGCUUUAUCAGGAGAAUCAUCUGGAAUCUGGAAACACUGGCAAUGGGGUCACUGUUCCUGACAUCCCAUAUGCCCCCUGUCUACUGGGAAUCUUGAUGUGCUGCAGCGUCAAGUGAACCCAACCCCUGGACAUAUACAGCUCUGGAGAAAAUGAAGAGACCACUGCAAAAUGAUCCGUUUCUCUGGUUUUACUAUUUAUAGCUCUGUGUUUGGGUCCACAUUUCACAGUGGGUGCGAGACACUGUGGCUUGUAGGCCUCUCCAGGUCUCACACCCACUGUGACAUUUGGUUGUUCCUGGAAGAAAACAUGCUUCCUUCUGCUCUGACAAUGUUCCCCAACUCUGAGGAUUGGUUUUUCCAGCAGGACAAUGUUUCAUGCCACACAGUCAGGUCAAUCAAGGUGUGGAUGGAGGACCACCAGAUCAAGACCCUGUCAUGGACAGCCCAAUCUCCAGACCUGAACCCCAUUGAAA